rnacentral:misc_RNA from 1 species
UCCGGUUUGGCACCGGCAGUCUCCCUAGAGUUCCCGGCUUUACCCGCUGGCAACUAAGGACAAGGGUUGCGCUCGUUGCGCCACUUAAGGCAACACCUCACGGCACGAGCUGACGACAGCCAUGCACCACCUGUGCAGGCUCCGUAGAGCGCCGGCUUUCACCGGCUUUGCCCUGCAUGUCAAGCCCAGGUAAGGUGGGGAUGACGUCAAGGUACGGAC